rfam:Aedes albopictus isolate Foshan contig116779, whole genome shotgun sequence.
UAGCCUAGUGGUUAAGGCUAUGGAGCGCCAAUCCGGAGACGGCGGGUUCGAUUCCCGU